AGUCGACGGAUCCUAUUGAAACCUAGUGAUGUAUGGAUUAGUGGCGGACGGGUGAGUAACGCGUGGAUAACCUGCCGUAUACAGGGGGAUAACACUUAGAAAUAGGUGCUAAUACCGCAUAAGCGCACGGUUCCGCAUGGAACAGUGUGAAAAACUUCGGUGGUAUACGAUGGAUCCGCGUCUGAUUAGCCAGUUGGCGGGGUAACGGCCCACCAAAGCGACGAUCAGUAGCCGGCCUGAGAGGGUGAACGGCCACAUUGGGACUGAGACACGGCCCAAACUCCUACGGGAGGCAGCAGUGGGGAAUAUUGCACAAUGGGGGAAACCCUGAUGCAGCGACGCCGCGUGAGUGAAGAAGUAUUUCGGUACGUAAAGCUCUAUCUGCAGGGAAGAAAAGAAGUCCUUUGGAUUUUGGACGGUACCUGACCAAGAAGCCCCGGCUAACUACGUGCCAGCAGCCGCGGUAAUACGUAGGGGGCAAGCGUUAUCCGGAUUUACUGGGUGUAAAGGGAGCGUAGACGGCAGCGCAAGUCUGGAGUGAAAUGCCGGGACCCAACCCCGGAACUGCUUUGGAAACUGUGCAGCUCGAGUGCAGGAGAGGUAAGCGGAAUUCCUAGUGUAGCGGUGAAAUGCGUAGAUAUUAGGAGGAACACCAGUGGCGAAGGCGGCUUACUGGACUGUAACUGACGUUGAGGCUCGAAAGCGUGGGGAGCAAACAGGAUUAGAUACCCUGGUAGUCCACGCCG
rnacentral:rRNA from 1 species